AAGCCGGGAAUGGAAAGCCCGGUGCAAGCGGGGUACCAGUCACUUUGGCAAAUCCGGGUGGCAAUGGGAAGCCGUGAUGCGGAGCGAAAUAAAGUAGCGAAGUCCGUGAGCCAUGCGUCAAGAAAAGCCGCUAUCGUUUAUACCGUACCCGUACCGUAAACCGACACAGGUGGAUGAGGAGAGAGUCCUAAGGCCGGCAGAAGAAGCAUUGUCAAGGAACUCGGCAAAAUGGCCCCGUAACUUAGGGAUAAGGGGUGCCUGGGAAACCAGGCCGCAGAGAAUAGGCUCAAGCAACUGUUUAGCAAAAACACAGGUCUAUGCGAAACCGAAAGGUGAGGUAUAUGGGCUGACGCCUGCCCGGUGCUGGAAGGUUAAGAGGAGAGGUUAGCGCAAGCGAAGCUUUGAAUUUAAGCCCCAGUAAACGGCGGCCGUAACUAUAACGGUCCUAAGGUAGCGAAAUUCCUUGUCGGGUAAGUUCCGACCCGCACGAAAGGCGUAAUGAUUUGAGCGCUGUCUCGACAAUGCAUCCGGUGAAAUUGAAGUACCAGUGAAGAUGCUGGUUACCUGCGCCAGGACGGAAAGACCCCAUGGAGCUUUACUCCAGUUUGGUACUGGGACUCGGUAUUGCAUGUACAGGAUAGGUGGGAGGCUGAGAGACAGUAACGCCAGUUAUUGUGGAGCCGCUGUUGGGAUACCACCCUUGCAGUAUUGGGUUUCUAACCAGCCGCCGUGACCCGGCGGUGGGACAAUGCCAGACGGGGAGUUUGACUGGGGCGGUCGCCUCCGAAAGGGUAUCGGAGGCGCCCAAAGGUUCCCUCAGAAUGGACGGAAACCAUUCGAAGAGUGCAAAGGCAGAAGGGAGCUUGACUGCGACACCGACGGGUGGAGCAGGUACGAAAGUAGGGCUUAGUGAUCCGGUGGUAUUAAGUGGGAAUGCCAUCGCUCAACGGAUAAAAGCUACCCUGGGAUAACAGGCUUAUCACUCCCAAGAGUUCACAUCGACGGAGUGGUUUGGCACCUCGAUGUCGGCUCAUCGCAUCCUGGGGCUGUAGUAGGUCCCAAGGGUUGGGCUGUUCGCCCAUUAAAGCGGUACGCGAGCUGGGUUCAGAACGUCGUGAGACAGUUCGGUCCCUAUCCGGCGUGGGCGUAGGAUAUCUGAGAGGAGCUGUCCUUAGUACGAGAGGACCGGGAUGGACGGGCCGCUGGUGCAUCGGUUAGACUGCCAAGUCUACGGCCGAGUAGCCAAGCCCGGAAGGGAUAAACGCUGAAGGCAUCUAAGCGUGAAGCCCCCCUUAAGAUGAGAUAUCCCAUUCGAAAGAAGUAAGCCCCCUUGAAGACGACGAGGUAGAUAGGGCAGAGGUGGAAGUGUGGCAAUGCAUGGAGCUGACUGUUACUAAUCGGGUGAGGGCUUGACC
rnacentral:rRNA from 1 species